rnacentral:rRNA from 1 species
GACGAACCGUGCGAACGUUGUUCGGAAUCACUGGGCUUAAAGGGCGCGUAGGCGGACCGCCAAGUCCGGGGUGAAAUCUUUCGGCCCAACCGGAAAAGUGCCUUGGAUACUGGCGGUCUCGAGCGAGGUAGGGGCAGCUGGAACUUCCGGUGGAGCGGUGAAAUGCGUUGAUAUCGGAAGGAACGCCGGUGGCGAAAGCGAGCUGCUGGACCUUUUCUGACGCUGAGGCGCGAAAGCCAGGGGAGCGAACGGG